rnacentral:rRNA from 1 species
CCCACCCAAUGUGUACCCACCUCUGUUGCUUUGGCGGGCCGCGGUCCUCCGCACCGGCGCCCUUCGGGGGGCUGGCCAGCGCCCGCCAGAGGACCAUAAAACUCCAGUCAGUGAACUUCGCAGUCUGAAAAACAAGUUAAUAAACUAAAACUUUCAACAACGGAUCUGAAGGUUCUGGCAUCGAUGAAGAACGCAACGAAAUGCGAUAAGUAAUGUGAAUUGCAGAAUUCAGUGAAUCAUCGAAUCUUUGAACGCACAUUGCGCCCCUUGGUAUUCCGAGGGGCAUGCCUGUUCGAGCGUCAUUUCAACCCUCAAGCUCUCCUUGGUAUUGGGCUCCGUCCUCCACGGACGCGCCUUAAACACCUCGGCGGUGGCGUCUUGCCUCAAGCGUAGUAGAAAACACCUCGCUUUGGAGCGCACGGCGUCGCCCGCCGGACGAACCUUUGAAUUAUUUCUCAAGGUUGACCUCGGAUCAGGUAGGCUUACCCGCUGAACUUAAGCAUAUCAAUAAGCGGAGGGAUCAUUACGAGUUGAUUGAGCUGGCUGACUCUCCACAAUGUGUACACUCGUUGCUUUGGCGGGCGGGUCUCGCACGGCCCUUCGGGGGCUGGCGCGCGCGGAGGACAUAAAACUCGUCGUGAACUUCACUCGAAAAAAGUUUAUAAACUAAAAUUUCACACGAUCUCUUGUUCGGCAUCAUGAAGAACCACAAAUGCAUAGUAAUGUGAAAUUCAAAUAGAAUCUCAAUCUUUAAGCAUUCGCUUGCUAUUCAGGGGCAGCUGUUCAGCUAUUUCACCUCAGCCUCUGCUUGUAUUGGGUCCUCCUCCGCAGCCUUAAAGACUCGCGGGCGCUGCUCGCGAAAUAUAGUAUAACACACUCAUCGUCU